UUUUAUUAAUUGUAGGAUUCAUAGAAUGACAACAGGAGACAUUAUAAUGAACUAUUUCAGUGAACACGGAUUCGGCGAAUGACAUCAGAGUUCUCCCGGCUGUGGUUAAGAUUUUUAAAUCAUCAGUUUACAAUAAUUCGCAUCCUUGCCAAGGUUCGGAUAUAAAUGGGAUGGUAAACACCACUGUCUCAAAAUACGUCUUUAUUUCAGAUCUGAGCUCUGGAGUGAGGGAAAAACGAUCAGCUGGUUACGGUUUUGGGGGAGGCUACAAUUUCGGUUGGAAGAGGUCCCUCACUGACUUUGAUGGAUUUAACUUUAAUCUAUCUGAUAUCGAGCUGCUGCAAGACGUAGCGGAGAAGCUGGUAGACGGUGAGCAAGUAAUGACAGAGCACGUCGACAGUGCAGAACACUGGAAGCUGUGGAGAAAGAUGGUGAAGCACGGUAUGGAAGAGUCAGGAUACUAUGACCUGGCCGUGUUCAUGUUCUGUAUGCUCAACUAGACCGGAACUCUGUGGUUUGAUCUGAUGAUGGGACUCGGACAUUGUUGUAAACUGUUGUAAACUGCUGUAAACUUUACCGAUUCGUUUUUGUAAACUAACUUUGACCCCUGUUUAAGAUUUCGGGGAUAUUCGCUUGAUGCUUGAACUUUUUUUUAUUUUGGUCUUAAAUGUGCAAAUGCAAAAUUUAUUUAAUUUUAUGAACUUAUUUCACUUGUUUGAUUCCAAAUGGGGCAAAUUUGCCUGAAAUGUAUAUGAUCUAAAGACUAAAAGUCCUAACAAAUACUUGAGACGGAAAAAUUCGUAUCUGUUUAUUAAAUUUUAUGAUAAUGAUCUUUGACUAAUGUCCAUUGUCCAAACUCUCUCAGCAAAAUACUAUAUUAUUUAAUUAACAUGUCCUUACUAUUAUAGGAAUAUCAUGUUGAUAACUCUGAUUUUCCUGAUCGGAGCUGCAAGUGCAGUUCCUACCCGACAAGAAUGCCCCAGAAUCCUGGAGACAGCCGGAGUAUCCGAAACCUUCGCACAGAU